AUGACGGCGCAGACUGCCGAGGAGCUCGCCGCGCAUAUCGAGCAGGAGCAGCUCGAGGCGAAGAAAACUGAGCAGGCAGAAGAGGUUGUGGUUGAGGAUGAUGAUGAUGAUGACGACGACGAUGAGGAUGAUGAUGACAACGAUGAUUUGGAUGGGCAAGAAGGUGAUGCCAGUGGCACAUCAAAGCAAAGCAGGAGUGAGAAGAAGAGUCGCAAGGCAAUGCUGAAGCUUGGCAUGAAAUCCAUCACUGGCGUAAGCCGUGUCACUGUGAAGAAAAGCAAGAAUAUAUUAUUCGUCAUCUCAAAGCCAGAUGUCUUCAAGAGCCCAAAUUCAGAGACGUAUGUUAUUUUCGGUGAAGCCAAGAUUGAGGAUCUCAGCUCCCAGCUGCAGAGCCAGGCUGCCGAACAGUUCAAGGCUCCUGACCUGAGCCAAAUGAUCUCAAGUCCUGAGGCGUCGGGCAUGGAGAAUGAUGACAACGAGGUUGUCAACGAUGAAGGAGUCGAGCCAAAGGACAUCGAGCUGGUGAUGACACAGGCGGGCGUCUCAAGGGCCAAGGCUGUCAGGGCUCUCAAGUCUGCCAAUGGAGACAUUGUCACUGCCAUUAUGGAGGUCACAACUUAA
rnacentral:rRNA from 1 species